rnacentral:rRNA from 1 species
AUAAGAGCUAUUGGUGGAUGCCUUGGCAUUGACAGGCGAAGAAGGACGCGAAUACCUGCGAAAAGCUCCGGCGAGCUGGUGAUAAGCAAAGACCCGGAGGUAUCCGAAUGGGGAAACCCGGUAGAGUAAUAGACUACCAUUGCAUGCUGAAUACAUAGGUAUGCAAAGCGACACCUGCCGAACUGAAACAUCUUAGUAAGCAGAGGAAAAGAAAUCGAAGAGAUUCCCUGUGUAGCGGCGAGCGAAAGGGGAAUAGCCUAAACCGAGCUGAUAAGGCUCGGGGUUGUAGGAUUGAGGAUAAAGGAUCAGGACUCCUAGUUGAACACAUCUGGAAAGAUGGAUGAUACAGGGUGAUAGUCCCGUAGACGAAAGGAGAGAAAGACCGACCUCAACACCUGAGUAGGACUAGACACGUGAAACCUAGUCUGAAUCUGGGGAGACCACUCUCCAAGGCUAAAUACUAGUCAAUGACCGAUAGUGAACCAGUACUGUGAAGGAAAGGCGAAAAGAACCCUUGUUAAGGGAGUGAAAUAGAACCUGAAACCAGUAGCUUACAAGCGGUCGGACCNAAUGGCCCGUAAGGGUCAAGGUUGACGGCGUGCCUUUUGCAUGAUGAGCCAGGGAGUUAAGCUAAACGGCGAGGUUAAGGGAUAUACAUUCCGGAGCCGGAGCGAAAGCGAGUUUUAAAAGAGCGAAGAGUCGUUUGGUUUAGACACGAAACCAAGUGAGCUAUUUAUGACCAGGUUGAAGCAUGGGUAAAACUAUGUGGAGGACCGAACUAGUACCUGUUGAAAAAGGUUUGGGAGUUGUGAAUAGGGGUGAAAGGCCAAUCAAACUUGGAGAUAUCUUGUUCUCUCCGAAUAACUUUAGGGUUAGCCUCGGAUAAUAAGCUUUUGGGGGUAGAGCACUGAAUUCUAGCGGGGGCCUACCGGCUUACCAACGGAAAUCAAACUCCGAAUACCAGAAGCGAGUCCGGGAGAUAGACAGCGGGGGCUAAGCUUCGUUGUCGAGAGGGGAACAGCCCAGACCGCCGAUUAAGGCCUAAUUUUAUGCUAAGUGGGUAAGGAAGUGAUGAUUCGAAGACAGUUGGAAUGUUGGCUUAGAGGCAGCAAUCAUUUAAAGAGUGCGUAACAGCUCACCAAUCGAGAAUCAUUGCGCCGAUAAUAAACNGGGACUAAGCAUAAAACCGACAUCGCGGGUGUGUCGAUAAGACACGCGGUAGGAGAGCGUAGUAUUCAGCAGAGAAGGUGUACCGGAAGGAGGGCUGGAGCGGAUACUAGUGAAGAUCCAUGGCAUAAGUAACGAUAAAGGGAGUGAAAAUCUCCCUCGCCGUAAGCCCAAGGUUUCCAGGGUCAAGCUCGUCUUCCCUGGGUUAGUCGGCCCCUAAGUUGAGGCGUAACUGCGUAGACGAUGGAGCAGCAGGUUAAAUAUUCCUGCACCACCUAAAACUAUAGCGAAGGAAUGACGGAGUAAGUUAAGCACGCGGACGAUUGGAAGAGUCCGUAGAGCGAUGAGAACGGUUAGUAGGCAAAUCCGCUAACAUNAAGAUCAGGUCGCGAUCAAGGGGAAUCUUCGGAGACCGAUGGUGUGGAGCGAGGCUUUCAAGAAAUAAUUUCUAGCUGUUGAUGGUGACCGUACCAAAACCGACACAGGUGGGCGAGAUGAAUAUUCUAAGGCGCGCGAGAUAACUUUCGUUGGAACUCGGCAAAUUAUCCCCGUAACUUCGGAAUAAGGGGAGCCUUUUAGGGUGACUAUGGAACGAUAGGAGCCCCGGGGGGCCGCAGAGAAAUGGCCCAGGCGACUGUUUAGCAAAAACACAGCACUAUGCAAACCUCUAAGGGGAAGUAUAUGGUGUGACGCCUGCCCAAUGCCAAAAGGUUAAAGGGAUAUGUCAGCUGUAAAGCGAAGCAUUGAACCUAAGCCCUGGUGAAUGGCGCCGUAACUAUAACGGUGCUAAGGUAGCGAAAUUCCUUGUNCGGGUAAGUUCCGACCUACNGAAUGGUGUAACGAUNCUGGGCACUGUCUCAACGAAAGACUCGGUGAAAUUGUAGGCAGUGAAGAUGCUGUUUACCCGCGAAAGGACGAAAAGACCCCGUGAACCUUUACUGUACUUUGGUAUUGGUUUUUGGUUUGUUAUGUGUAGGAUAGCCAGGAGACUAAGAACACUCUUCUUCAGGAGAGUGGGAGUCAACGUUGAAAUACUGGUCUUAACAAGCUGGGAAUCUAACAUAUUCCAUGAAUCUGGAAGAUGGACAUUGCCAGACGGGCAGUUUUACUGGGGCGGUAUCCCUAAAAAGUAACGGAGGAGCCCAAAGCUUAUUUCAUCGUGGUUGGCAAUCACGAGUAGAGCGUAAAGGUAUAAGAUAGGUUGACUGCAAGACCAACAAGUCGAGCAGAGACGAAAGUGGCUUAGUGAUCCGGCGGUGGAAAGUGGAAUCGCCGUCGCUUAACGGAUAAAAGGUACCCGGGGAUAACAGGCUGAUCGCCACCAAGAGUUCAUAUCGACGUGGCGGUUUGGCACCUCGAUGUCGGCUCAUCGCAUCCUGGGGCUGGAGAAGGUCCCAAGGGUUUGGCUGUUCGCCAUUAAAGCGGUACGCGAGCUGGGUUCAAAACGUCGUGAGACAGUUUGGUCUCUAUCCUUCGUGGGCGCAGGAUACUUGAGAGGAGCUGUUCCUAGUACGAGAGGACCGGAAUGGACGAACAUGGUGUAUCGGUUGUUUUGCCAAGAGCAUAGCCGAGUAGCUACGUUCGGAAAGGAUACAUUGAAAGCAUCUAAAUGCCAAGCCUCCCUCAAGAUAAGGUAUCCCAAUGAGACUCCGUAGACUACGUGGUUGAUAGGUUGGAGGUGUAAGCACAGUAAUGUGUUCAGCUAACCAAUACUAAUAAGUCCAAAGACUUGGUC